rnacentral:rRNA from 1 species
UACGGAGGGUGCAAGCGUUGUUCGGAUUUACUGGGCGUAAAGGGCGCGUAGGUGGCUCUAUAAGUCGGGGGUGAAAUGCUGCGGCUCAACCGCAGCGCUGCCUCCGAGACUGUAGGGCUCGAGCACGGUAGAGGCCGAUGGAAUUCCCGGUGUAGCGGUGGAAUGCGUAGAGAUCGGGAAGAACACCAAUGGCGAAGGCAGUCGGCUGGGCCGUUGCUGACACUGAGGCGCGACAGCGUGGGGAGCAAACAGG